rnacentral:rRNA from 1 species
UACAGAGGGUGCGAGCGUUGUCCGGAAUCACUGGGCGUAAAGGGCGCGUAGGUGGCUUGUUAAGCGUGUGGUGAAAGCCUGGGACUCAACCCCAGGUCUGCCGUGCGAACUGGCAAGCUUGAGCGUAGUAGAGGCAGGUGGAAUUUCGGGUGUAGCGGUGGAAUGCGUAGAUAUCCGAAAGAACACCGGUGGCGAAGGCGGCCUGCUGGGCUACUGCUGACACUGAUGCGCGACAGCGUGGGGAGCAAACAGG